rnacentral:rRNA from 1 species
UACGUAGGGUCCAAGCGUUGUUCGGAUUUACUGGGCGUAAAGGGCGCGUAGGCGGCGCGGUAAGUCACUUGUGAAAUCUCUGAGCUUAACUCAGAACGGCCAAGUGAUACUGCAGUGCUAGAGUGUGGAAGGGGCAAUCGGAAUUCUUGGUGUAGCGGUGAAAUGCGUAGAUAUCAAGAGGAACACCUGAGGUGAAGACGGGUUGCUGGGCCAACACUGACGCUGAUGCGCGAAAGCUAGGGGAGCAAACGGG